GUGAUCCUCCUGCCUCAGCCUCCUGAGUAGCUGGGACUACAGGCCCCCGAGACACAUCCACCAACACCAGGGAGUGCCUUGCACGUACAGCCCUUCUCCUUACCCUGCAGCCCGGCCGAGGGACACUGCCAGCCCUGGUUCACAGAGGAGGAGCCGAGUCCACCCGAGUCUGGAGAGUCAGGGCCUGGUCAGGCCUGGCUGUCCCCUGGGCCUGAGUCUGCUCCUGGUUCUCCGCCGGGUCCGCAUGGGGCAGCAGGGCUGAGAAGGACCUUCUGCCUGGACCUGCUCUCGGGCAGGAUCUGGACAUCAUGGGCAGAAGCCUUAGGGCUGUGACGAGCACCCCUUCGUGGCCAAGCAGUUUUAGCUUGGCUGCCCCAGGCCUGCAUGUGAGCAAGAUGUCUAAGUAUGGAGAGGACGGGUAGGGGAGCCUUAGCAGGAGUCUAAGCCAGGAAGCUGGCAGUGGCUGCCCAGGAGGGAGGAGGCCAAGCAACCACCGAUCGCUUUGCCUUUCCUGUUUGCCUGUUCCGAACAUUUCAUACAAAUGGGAUCACGCAGCGUCAUUGGUAACUUACUGUUUCCACAGUGGCUGUACCAUUUUGCUUUCCCAUCAGCUGUGUAAGAGAGUUCCAAUAUCUCUAUAUCCUCAAUAAUACUUUUUUUUAAGUGAAAUUUUUAUUUAGUGCUAAUACAGUAUCUUUUAAAUUAAAAACUAGACAAAUCUUUUUGUACCUUUUGAGGUUUCCUUUUAAGCCACAUGCCUAUAUUAUCUAUUUAAAGAAUAAUUUUACAAAUGCAUGCACAGGGACAAACCAUAAAGCUGCACCACCUGGAUCCAAGAUCCCCUUUCCCCAAAGACCGCCCAUUCUCGGUUCUUCAACAACACUUUCCUCAACCUUAAAGAACCAGACUUUUGCUUUGUUGUUUA